AGUCGAGCGGACAGAUGGGAGCUUGCUCCCUGAUGUUAGCGGCGGACGGGUGAGUAACACGUGGGUAACCUGCCUGUAAGACUGGGAUAACUCCGGGAAACCGGGGCUAAUACCGGAUGGUUGUUUGAACCGCAUGGUUCAAACAUAAAAGGUGGCUUCGGCUACCACUUACAGAUGGACCCGCGGCGCAUUAGCUAGUUGGUGAGGUAAUGGCUCACCAAGGCAACGAUGCGUAGCCGACCUGAGAGGGUGAUCGGCCACACUGGGACUGAGACACGGCCCAGACUCCUACGGGAGGCAGCAGUAGGGAAUCUUCCGCAAUGGACGAAAGUCUGACGGAGCAACGCCGCGUGAGUGAUGAAGGUUUUCGGAUCGUAAAGCUCUGUUGUUAGGGAAGAACAAGUACCGUUCGAAUAGGGCGGUACCUUGACGGUACCUAACCAGAAAGCCACGGCUAACUACGUGCCAGCAGCCGCGGUAAUACGUAGGUGGCAAGCGUUGUCCGGAAUUAUUGGGCGUAAAGGGCUCGCAGGCGGUUUCUUAAGUCUGAUGUGAAAGCCCCCGGCUCAACCGGGGAGGGUCAUUGGAAACUGGGGAACUUGAGUGCAGAAGAGGAGAGUGGAAUUCCACGUGUAGCGGUGAAAUGCGUAGAGAUGUGGAGGAACACCAGUGGCGAAGGCGACUCUCUGGUCUGUAACUGACGCUGAGGAGCGAAAGCGUGGGGAGCGAACAGGAUUAGAUACCCUGGUAGUCCACGCCGUAAACGAUGAGUGCUAAGUGUUAGGGGGUUUCCGCCCCUUAGUGCUGCAGCUAACGCAUUAAGCACUCCG
rnacentral:rRNA from 1 species